CACCAGCCACAGCCGGCGCCCGCUCACGUAAUCUCGAGGUUCGCGUGUCCUUCGGGACGAGAAGAGGCCUCGGUAUCACGUGAUUCAGGGAUGCAACACUUCCGGCCCGCGCUGCAACUCGUGCAAACUGGGCUGGUUUUCGGGGGUGUGGCCAGAACGCGACGUGCCACGUGUCUGCCCGCGGGGGAAACUUAAUGCUGGUGAAAAGAAUGUGACUGAGAGUCUUAGUUUCCAGUCCUGCAACAGGAUGUGCAAGGAUGGGCCCUUACAAUCUCAUGGAGUCUUGAAGAGUGGAGCUAUGCCAGUAUCAGGUGAAGUCAAUGGGACUCCUAGCAGGACAUCCAUAGCCUGCACUGAUGGCAUAAGCAGAGACCUUCCCUGCAAGACAGUUAUCCAAGAAAAUUAAACUUUUGUCUAUAAAAGGCAAGUAUUUCAAACUCCAUCAACAAG